CGUGGGAGCGGGCUUGCUCGCGAUGCCGGCGAUGCGGUUUUCAGCUCAACCGCGUCGCCGGCAUCGCGAGCAAGCCCGCUCCCACA
rnacentral:misc_RNA from 1 species